UGAUGGAGCAUGCCGCGUGGAGGAAGAAGGCCCGUGGGUCGUAAACUCCUUUUCUCAGAGAAGAAAUUCUGACGGUAUCUGAGGAAUAAGCAUCGGCUAACUCUGUGCCAGCAGCCGCGGUAAUACAGAGGAUGCAAGCGUUAUCCGGAAUGAUUGGGCGUAAAGCGUCUGUAGGUGGCUUAUAAAGUCUACUGUUAAAUGUUAGGGCUCAACCCUAAAAAAGCAGUGGAAACUUAUAGGCUUGGGUACGGUAGGGGCAAAGGGAAUUCCCGGUGUAGCGGUGAAAUGCGUAGAGAUCGGGAAGAACACCAAUGGCGAAAGCACUUUGCUGGGCCGAAACUGACACUGAGAGACGAAAGCUAGGGGAGCAAAUGGGAUUAGAUACCCCAGUAGUCCUAGCCGUAAACGAUGGAUACUAAGUGCUGUGCGUAUCGACCCGUGCAGUGCUGUAGCUAACGCGUUAAGUAUCCCGCCUGGGAAGUAUGCUCGCAAGAGUGAAACUCAAAUGA
rnacentral:rRNA from 1 species